GUGGCUGUGUAAUAUUCCGUUACACAUAAAUUAUAUAUAUGUGUAUAUACUUUAUACAGUAUAAUACCACAGCAUCUUUAUUCAUCUACCGAUGGAUGCUUAGGUUGCUCCCAUAUCUUGGUUAUUGUAAAUAAUGCUACAAUAAACAUAAGGACGCAUGUAUUCUUCCAAAUUAGUGUUUUCAUUUUUCAAUCACAAUUCUUUUGAAAUCUCUUUGGCUGAAGGAGGUCGGGGAUCAGAAGGAAAAAAUGAUUAUAAUUAAGGUGAAUGAAUGAAUAAUCAUUCAACAUACAUAAAUUCAACAGGAAAUUAUCGAAGCCCUACUCUGGGCCGGAGACUGUGUCAUGCCAGAGGAUACGGAGAAGGAAGACAACUAAUUCCUAUCCUCAGAGAGCUUAGAAUCUCAUAUAACUUCCAAGUGUGGAUAGAGUAAAUUUAUUUCACAUAAAUAACUUCAGACCAGAUGCUUGCAGGACUUGAGGUGCCUCUAUACAGAGGCAGGAAUUGUUUUCCCACUCCAGACCUGGCAUGCCCUUCAACUCUGAUCACAAUUGUUUGUCUACCACCCAUGGAUCCUGUGGGGUCAGCUAAAUUUGUGGGCAAAAGAGACAAAAGGACAGGAGGAAGACACAGUGAGAAGAUUAUUGCAGAGCCAGCUUUAAAAUAGAACCAACUCUAAAAAGGAGAAAAAGGAAGAACAGACUAAGAGGCCAUUUCAAAAUUCUAAUCAAUGGAUUGGUGCCAUCUUGGUAAUAUUUUAUAACCUGUGGCAAAAUGACUGUAGUAAUUUACCAUAUGCCAGUUUAAGGUUGGCGAAGGCCCUUUGUGAGGCAGACUUAUUUAUUUUAGGAAUAUCUUCUCCCAAAUUUAAAAUGUCCCCUCUUUUAUGGCAGAAUGUACUCAACGGACAGUUCUGAGAAUCCUUCAGAAUACAUUUCUUAGUCCGCAAAAUCUGGAGGUCAGGAAUCACGGAGAAAUUAGAGCAUAGUUCCCACGACAUGAGAUACUUCAGCUCUUCAGUAGACAAAGGCAUUUCUCAGAGUGAAGUUUCUCAGGGAACAACCCUGCCUUUUGAAUGUAGAAAAUGAAGAAGAAUGAUGGAUAGGAUUCUAGAACCAAAGCUUGCCUCACAGUCUGCAGGUGGAAUACAUCUGGCCCCUCAGAGGUUUGAAUUUCAGAAGAAGCUGGCUUGGAGGCACAGACCAGCAUUUACAGGGCUGGAUAGAAGUGAGGGACACAGGAAUAGAUGAGUUAAGAUCCAUCAUACUGGAAUGAAUGUCAGUCUUCCUCAGCUACAUCAUUGACCAACUAGCUACAUCAAGACUAGGAAAUCCCUCCAACAGCUGAGAUGCCAGAUGGGAUGGCAGUUAAUUUUCCAAAAAGGAGUUAAUAUCCUUUUUAUCUCUUCUUCAUGUAAAGCAAGGAAGACUCCUGAAAUCAGAAACCUCUCCUGAUGUAAAACUAGAAGCCACUCCCAAAAGCACAAGCCUCUAAAACAGUGAGCAGUCACCUCAGCACUUCCUCUUGGAGCCUGCAGAAGUGACCUGUGCUUUUCUCUGGGCAUGAACGAAGGCCUCAAAGAAACUGCUGAUCUGCCUGAGGGAGUAGAUUCACUGUGCUUCUCUUAUUAUACUGGGGAGGGCUCAUCUUGCCCUCUUCUUUCUCUGUAUGUUCAACUCAACUGCAGGCUAAAAGCACAGAAUUAAUUUUCUCCACAGGAAUAAACUAUUGUUUUGUUAACGUUAUUUAUCAGUGCCAUGGACUGAAAUGUGUCCUCAAAUUCAGAUGUGGAAGCCCUAACCCCCCCCCCCACAUGACUGUAUUUGGCCUAUACAGGGCCAAACAGGACAUAUAAGGAAGUAAUUUCAAUUAAAUGAGGUCAUAAAGGCAAGACCCUGAUCGGAUAGGAUUAGAGUCAUUAUAGGAAGAGGCAACAGAAAGCCUACCCUCUCUUUCUCUCUUCCUGCCCUGCCCCCUGAAGGACACAGCAAGAGGGUGGCCAUCUCCAAGCCAGGAAGAGAGCUCUCACCCGAAACUGAACCAGCUGGCAUCUUGAUCUUGGAUUUCUAGCCCCCAGAAGAGAAUGUUUACCCAGAGGAAGUGAUUUAAGUCUCUUUGGGCACCACAUUGUCAUUAGAAGGAGAAAGCACAGGGGUGCCGAAUGGCUCCUGGUCUGAAAGCCUGGGCACCAAGUUCAAGGCUGGGAAGAAGCACAGAAAGAAGUAAAUGACAGAAGCUGACCCCAAAUAAUCCCAUUACAGAGAAAUGGGAUUUUCAAGAGUGUCUGCUCUUAGAAUUAAGAAUGCUGACACUGGUUCAGUUCCAAACCUAACUGGGAAAACAUGAAAAUGGUUACCAUCUGUAGCUGUCUGGUGUCAGGAGGUGAGGUGGGGAGGCGGUCUGUGGCCAGGGCGCCUACGCCUGUGACUCCAACACGGGCGUUGCUUUCUCCCUACCCCUGCCUUCCUCUGUACACCGGAGAAGGAAUUACACCUCUCGGUGACCUUUAGGUGACCUAAUGACUCAAACAGGGUGGCCACUGUUACAGUGACAUUUCCAAAUAAUGGAGUGUUCCAUAGAAGCCAGACCGUAUCCUUGUAAAUCUGUCUUUAUCGAAUAGUAAAGAAAUGAAAAGCAAA